CAGACGACGGCAAAACAAAAGAACCGUCGUGCUAAUCCAUAGAAACGUGGAUGUGCUAAUACGACGUAGUCAUUAACUUAACACAAUAGUAAUUGAAUAAAACCGUCGUCAUGUUAUAAGUUCAUAAACAAAUCGCCCAGUUUUCUCUCUCCCACGUUCGUUUCAAAUCAGACGACAGUUUUCUCUUCAAACGUCGUAUUUAUUAACAUACCACAUCGGUUAGUAUGAAUAGUCGUGCUAUUGAAAUAGCACGAAUUUAAUUACCAUCGUGGUGUGUCAACAAAAACGUCAAAUUCAAAAAAACCCCAUCGUCCUCACAUGACCUGUGAGUGAUAACAGUGAACGGUUUGGCAAUUUCAAACCAACUUCUUUUUCAAACAUCAGUGGG
rnacentral:lncRNA from 1 species